rnacentral:rRNA from 1 species
CAGUCGCCACGGGAAUACGAAGGGGGCUAGCGUUGCUCGGAAUCACUGGGCGUAAAGGGUGCGUAGGCGGGUUUCUAAGUCAGGGGUGAAAUCCUGGAGCUCAACUCCAGAACUGCCCUUGAUACUGGAAGUCUUGAGUAUGGGAGAGGUGAGUGGAACUGCGAGUGUAGAGGUGAAAUUCGUAGAUAUUCGCAAGAACACCAGUGGCGAAGGCGGCUCACUGGCUCAUACUGGACGCUGAGGUGCGAAAGCGUGGGGAGCAAACAGGAUUAGAUACCCCAGUAGUCCCUGUCUCUUAUAA